rnacentral:lncRNA from 1 species
UGGGUGAUUGCUGUCUGCUGAAGUUUACAGCAACAAAGCUCACUUGUUAGAUUUUCAAUAAUGUGCUUUAAAAUUGUCUACUUCCAGAUUGUAAAUGAGUCUACAGUUCAGUAAAUAUUCAAUUGACGCACAAAAUAACCAGAUAUUCGUGAUUAUUGUCAAAUUUGAGCUGUAGUAGGAAGGAACGCGAAUGGAAACAGUAGCCUAAAAAUCGUCCUUUUGCUGAAUGCAUCAUCCAGUCAAGUCAAUAUAGUUUCUAUUGAUCUUGGUAGGUCACUAACACCAGCAUGGCCACAAUGUUGUUUCUUUCCGAACAUGUUUUCUACAAAUUAUGCAUUGACAGACAAAGAAGGCUAUGGGAACAUAUUCAAGGCCAUGGGUAAUCUUCAGGUUAAUUGCAGCAACUUUGGAGAAGUCACAUGAAAAGAUGCAGGGCACAUACCAACAUGUGUUGUAUUUAUCUGAAUUCUUUACUCUAGCAGUAGAUUCAACAUAACUGUUUGAUGCCAAAGUUAGUUGGAACUCUAACUCAAACACAGAUAACCUGCUGCCUUACAGUCACAGGCAGGAAAAUAAUUCCUUUCUUCAGAAAAUUGUAAGUUUUAUUUUUUGUCUGGACCCUCCAUACCCCCAGUCUCAGAAGAUUUAUUUGUAUGUGAUGUGUAUCCGAUUAUUCAUUUCUCGUGAGUCGUGAUGUUAAGCUUCGGAAACAUGAGUUCUUCGUUCGGAAAGCAAUCCAUCCGUUCCGUACAGUCAAUCAAAUGUGGUAAUCGUGAGGGAAUCUUUUGGCUGUCGGUAGGUGGCUAAAAUGGAUUGUCAUCCAUCCACCAGGUGACGCGAGUGUCUUCGUGAGGAGUUGAGGACGAAAUUGAAAUAUUUGCUAUUUGUUUCCGAAACGUUGACUGAAAGUGUAUUCGAAAUACAUUACGGAAUUGCGGUGUCGAUCUACAUUUUCAGCCAUGAAAUUGUAAUUGGCAAUGUGGCUUAUAAUUUCACUUGGCCAAAUAAUGUGACCACUUGGGUCGAAACUGCUGUCCAUUUGGCCGAAAUGUCGGCCAUUCGGCUGUACGUCUCAUCUCGUUCUGAAACACUUCAGAGCUAGUAAAUUGAUGUUUUGGUCAGAGAUGGAGAUCCCUUUGCUCAACUGUUGCAGAAGUUGAGAAGACAAUAAAGUCUGAGCUUCAUGGCUGUCAUAUCAUGAACAUGGUUUUGUUGUUGCCAGCUGGUGAAAGGUGUGAUCGAGUCAUGGUUGAGUUGCAGCUUCUGCAUGCAGUUUAUCGAGCUGGUGCUAUCCCAAGUGUAACUGCAUGAAAACUUCUUGAAUUGCCAGGUGAAGUGUGCGCUUCUUUGUUGCAGUCUUAUGUGCUCAUGGAUUCGUUGCAGUCAUCCAGUGAAAGGUGUGAUUAAAUUGAGCUGUUGCAUGCAGUCUUUGGUGCUGAUGUUCUCCUGGAGUGUGGGAGAGUCCCAUGCUUCAAGUCUUCUGUGAUCAGCCAUAUCUGAGUUGACGCUGGAUCAUGCUGCAUUGUGGUUGCCAAAAUGUUGAACAUCUAGUAAAACUGCAAGAAGACUCCUUGAAAUGGUUUAUGUUUACGUAGCAGUGAUAUUGCUGUCCAAUAUGGCAUGUUGUUGCAGCCUAUACUGGUGAAAGUUUUUUUGCAUCGAGUUAUGCUGUUGCUGUCCCUUGGUGCCGGACUGCUGGUGUUGUGCACAAAAGUUACAUCCAGUUUUAAUUGUUAUUUGUGUCUAUGCAGUUAACCGUUUAUAUGUUGAAAAGGAACAGAAAAGUUUCUUGGUGCUGAAUCGCUGGUGUUGUGCUACAUCAGUUACAUCCAGUAUUUUGUUUAAUUGAUAUUUGCGUCUAUGAAGUUAACCGUUUAUAUGUUGAGAAUGAAAAAAAAUAGUAAUACGGGGAAUUUUUACGUUGAACAAAUAAUAAACAUGCCUUCGCGAUUGGGAAACCAGCGAGGAGGAGAUUGGGGGGAUGGGGGUAAUUGAUUUUCAUUAGCUAGAAGAAGUCGUGGUUUAUUUUAAUAAAGU